GGUGCAUGGUUGUCGUCAGCUCGUGUCGUGAGAUGUUGGGUUAAGUCCCGCAACGAGCGCAACCCCUAUUGUUAGUUGCCAUCAUUCAGUUGGGCAUCUAGCGAGACUGCCGGUAAUAAACCGGAGGAAGGUGGGGAUGACGUCAAAUCAUCAUGCCCCUUAUGACCUGGGCUACACACGUGCUACAAUGGUUGGUACAACGAGUUGCGAGUCGGUGACGGCGAGCUAAUCUCUUAAAGCCAAUCUCAGUUCGGAUUGUAGGCUGCAACUCGCCUACAUGAAGUCGGAAUCGCUAGUAAUCGCGGAUCAGCACGCCGCGGUGAAUACGUUCCCGGGCCUU
rnacentral:rRNA from 1 species